rnacentral:lncRNA from 1 species
UUGUCCUGUCUCGUUGGACAUUACUGUGCUGAUGAAAUCACCAGCAGGGAGGCCAUGCUGCUUGCUAUGGUUUGCCCUGCAGGCCUGUUGUGCCCCGAAGGACAGGCAGUCGCUCCAGAUCCCAAUGGAAAUGCCUGCCCAAGAGGAUACUACUGUCCCCGGGGUGAUAUUACUGGAGACUGCCCCCCAGGAUACAUGUGCCCCCCAGGGACUGGAUUCCCCUUCUCUUUUCCCUGUCUGCCUGGCUUCUACUGGGAUAGUUCUGCUGUGGAAGGAAGAAAUACUUGCAAACCAUGUCCUGCAGGGUACUAUUGUGACUCUCCUGCCAUGACACAGCCCAAAACUUGCCCAGCUGGUUCUUACUGUGCCAGAGGUAGCUCCCGUCCUGAGCCCUGCCCAGAGGGCACAUAUGGUAGCAGAAAGGAGCUGGCUGUGCUACUGGACUGCAGCCCGUGUGGAGGUGGGUUCUACUGUGCUGGCCAAGGACAGACAGGCC